rnacentral:rRNA from 1 species
GAUGAACGCUAGCGGCAGGCUUAACACAUGCAAGUCGAGGGGUAUUGGUUUUCGGACCAAGAGACCGGCGCACGGGUGCGUAACGCGUAUGCAAUCUACCUUUUGCAGAGGGAUAGCCCCAGAGAAAUUUGGAUUAAUACCUCAUAGUAUAGUACUUUGGCAUCAAGGAACUAUUAAAGUCACAACGGCAAAGAUGAGCAUGCGUCCCAUUAGCUAGUUGGUAAGGUAACGGCUUACCAAGGCUACGAUGGGUAGGGGUCCUGAGAGGGAGAUCCCCCCANACUGGUACUGAGACACGGACCAGACUCCUACGGGAGGCAGCAGUGAGGAAUAUUGGACAAUGGGCGCAAGCCUGAUCCAGCCAUGCCGCGUGCAGGAUGACGGUCCUAUGGAUUGUAACUGCUUUUAUACAGGAAGAACACUCCGAC